rnacentral:rRNA from 1 species
CCUACGGGAGGCAGCAGUGGGGAAUAUUGCGCAAUGGGCGAAAGCCUGACGCAGCGACGCCGCGUGAGGGAUGAAGGUCUUCGGAUCGUAAACCUCUGUCAGCAGGGAAGAACGGUCACUGUGCUAAUCAGCAGUGAAUUGACGGUACCUGCAAAGGAAGCACCGGCUAACUCCGUGCCAGCAGCCGCGGUAAUACGGAGGGUGCGAGCGUUAUCCGGAUUUAUUGGGUUUAAAGGGUGCGCAGGCGGCCUGUUAAGUCAGCGGUAAAAGCCCGGGGCUCAACCCCGGCGAGCCGUUGAAACUGGCGGGCUGGAGUUGGAGAGAAGUACGCGGAAUGCGCGGUGUAGCGGUGAAAUGCUUAGAUAUCGCGCAGAACCCCGAUUGCGAAGGCAGCGUACCGGCUCCACACUGACGCUGAGGCACGAAAGCGUGGGUAUCGAACAGGAUUAGAUACCCCUGUAGUC